rnacentral:rRNA from 1 species
AUUGAACGCUGGCGGCAGGCUUAACACAUGCAAGUCGAGCGGAGAGAGGUAGCUUGCUACUGAUCUUAGCGGCGGACGGGUGAGUAAUGCUUAGGAAUCUGCCUAUUAGUGGGGGACAACAUUUCGAAAGGAAUGCUAAUACCGCAUACGUCCUACGGGAGAAAGCAGGGGAUCUUCGGACCUUGCGCUAAUAGAUGAGCCUAAGUCGGAUUAGCUAGUUGGUGGGGUAAAGGCCUACCAAGGCGACGAUCUGUAGCGGGUCUGAGAGGAUGAUCCGCCACACUGGGACUGAGACACGGCCCAGACUCCUACGGGAGGCAGCAGUGGGGAAUAUUGGACAAUGGGCGCAAGCCUGAUCCAGCCGUGCCGCGUGUGUGAAGAAGGCCUUAUGGUUGUAAAGCACUUUAAGCGAGGAGGAGGCUACUUUAGAUAAUACCUAGAGAUAGUGGGCGUUACUCGCAGAAUAAGCACCGGCUAACUCUGUGCCAGCCGCCGCCGUAACAC